UGGGGGAUAUUGCACAAUGGGCGAAAGCCUGAUGCAGCAACGCCGCGUGAGGGAAGACGGUUUUCGGAUUGUAAACCUCUGUCUUCGGUGAAGAAACAAAUGACGGUAGCCGAGGAGGAAGCCACGGCUAACUACGUGCCAGCAGCCGCGGUAAUACGUAGGUGGCAAGCGUUGUCCGGAAUUACUGGGUGUAAAGGGAGCGCAGGCGGGGAGACAAGUCAGCUGUGAAAACUAUGGGCUUAACCCAUAAACUGCAGUUGAAACUGUUUUUCUUGAGUGGAGUAGAGGUAGGCGGAAUUCCGAGUGUAGCGGUGAAAUGCGUAGAUAUUCGGAGGAACACCAGUGGCGAAGGCGGCCUACUGGACGGUUACUGACGCUGAGACGCGAAAGCGUGGGGAGCAAACA
rnacentral:rRNA from 1 species